UACGUAGGGGGCAAGCGUUGUCCGGAAUCAUUGGGCGUAAAGAGCGUGUAGGCGGCCCGGUAAGUCCGCUGUGAAAGUCGAGGGCUCAACCCUCGAAUGCCGGCGGAUACUGUCGGGCUAGAGUCCGGAAGAGGCGAGUGGAAUUCCUGGUGUAGCGGUGAAAUGCGCAGAUAUCGGGAAGAACACCCGUGGCGAAGGCGGCUCUCUGGGACGGUACUGACGCUGAGACGCGAAAGCGUGGGGAGCGAACAGG
rnacentral:rRNA from 1 species